rnacentral:rRNA from 1 species
GACGAACCGUGCAAACGUUAUUCGGAAUCACUGGGCUUAAAGCGUGCGUAGGCGGCUCAGAAAGUUGGGUGUGAAAUCCCUCGGCUCAACCGAGGAAUUGCGCUCAAAACUACUGAGCUCGAGGGAGUUAGAGGUGAGCGGAACUAAUGGUGGAGCGGUGAAAUGCGUUGAUAUCAUUAGGAACACCGGUGGCGAAGGCGGCCUCUGGACAAUGACUGACGCUAAAACACGAAAAGCGUGGGGAGCAAACAGG